rnacentral:misc_RNA from 1 species
GUCCUUCAUAUAUAUUACUUUUUAAAAAUUUCAGCUGAACAGCUCAAAUAUACUGCUGUUAUUAGCCCCAGUGAGCUGUGUACAUUAUUUCCCAAGUUAAUUGCUUUGGGAUAAAAUCAUGAUAUAUAAUAAUUUAUUAUUAUCAAGAAAACAUCGGUUUAGAUUCCAAAUUUUUAGAAACGAUGAUUCAUGAAAAAUUUAUAGACUUGAUUGUAAACAACAUCCGCAGCAUUGACCCCCAUGAUGAAAUCAGCAUGAGCAUAAUCCUUAACGAACUGUACUGUGAACUUGAGGACAUCAUGGAGCUUGAGAUCGUCAAGUAAUUGCUCAACAUCUCGGACAUCAGAUAGAGCAUCUUGUCCUCCAUAGCUGAUGAAGAGAGGAAGCUUUGGGGGGAUGUCUGAUAGCUUAUAAAUUGGAGGUUUGACAGUUCCAUAAUGUAUCAAAUUGUCGCUAGGAUUCCCAUAGUUGUAUUUUGCUACAACUCCAUCUCGAGCAGUUUGAGCGAGAUGCACCAUGUUCUUGGUUGCUGUGGAUUGAGGUUCAUUCUUCAAGAAGAGAUUUACAGUGGAAGUAUUGAGGCAGCAGUUCUUGCCAGUAAUUGCAGUUAACAAAUCAUAGCAGUCGACUUCUGGAUGAGCACACACAUAUCUAAGAAAUCUUGUUGCUUCCUCCCCUUUAGGAUUGAACUCUUUAAGGCCGAACAUUUUACCGACCUCACCAACAAAUGCUUUAGCAGCAACAACACCGAGUGCAGUUUUCAUGUGGCUUAAGUAAGCAAUUGGGCUUAACAAGGCAGCUGACUUCACCUUGUCCACCAGCAACCUUUCUGAGAAAGAUGCCAAAGCUGUCAAAGUUCCCAGGGAAUGACCCACGUAAUGUAGCUUCUGCCCUGUCUGGUUGUGCACAUAGUCAAAAAGAGCUGGGAGAUCGUAGGCUGCCAAUUCAUCCCAUGACCAAUUCCA